GGUAAAAUGGCUGAGUUAUAGGCGAUAGAUUGUAAAUUUAUUAACGAGGGUUUUCCUCUUUUACCA
rnacentral:tRNA from 1 species